GAUGAACGCUGGCGGCGUGCCUAAUACAUGCAAGUCGAGCGAACGGACGAGAAGCUUGCUUCUCUGAUGUUAGCGGCGGACGGGUGAGUAACACGUGGAUAACCUACCUAUCAGACUGGGAUAACUUCGGGAAACCGGAGCUAAUACCGGAUAAUAUUUUGAACCGCAUGGUUCAAAAGUGAAAGACGGUCUUGCUGUCACUUAUAGAUGGAUCCGCGCUGCAUUAGCUAGUUGGUAAGGUAACGGCUUACCAAGGCAACGAUGCAUAGCCGACCUGAGAGGGGGAUCGGCCACACUGGAACUGAGACACGGUCCAGACUCCUACGGGAGGCAGCAGUAGGGAAUCUGCCGCAAUGGGCGAAAGCCUGACGGAGCAACGCCGCGUGAGUGAUGAAGGUCUUCGGAUCGUAAAACUCUGUUAUUAGGGAAGAACAUAUGUGUAAGUAACUGUGCACAGCUUGACGGUACCUAAUCAGAAAGCCACGGCUAACUACGUG
rnacentral:rRNA from 1 species